GAGUUUGAUCCUGGCUCAGAUUGAACGCUGGCGGCAUGCCUUACACAUGCAAGUCGAACGGCAGCACGGGAGCUUGCUCCUGGUGGCGAGUGGCGAACGGGUGAGUAAUGCAUCGGAACGUAUCCGUGGAGUGGGGGAUAACGUAGCGAAAGUUACGCUAAUACCGCAUAUUCUGUGAGCGAGGAAAGCGGGGGACCUUCGGGCCUCGCGCUCUUGGAGCGGCCGAUGUCGGAUUAGCUAGUUGGUGAGGUAAAGGCUCACCAAGGCGACGAUCCGUAGCAGGUCUGAGAGGAUGAUCUGCCACACUGGAACUGAGACACGGUCCAGACUCCUACGGGAGGCGAGCAGGU
rnacentral:rRNA from 1 species